CGUAGGUGGCAAGCGUUGUCCGGAUUUAUUGGGUUUAAAGGGUGCGUAGGCGGCCCUAUAAGUCAGUGCUGAAAUAUCCCGGCUUAACCGGGAGGGUGGCAUUGAUACUGUAGGGCUUGAGUGUAGUCGAGGUAGGCGGAAUUGACGGUGUAGCGGUGAAAUGCUUAGAUAUCGUCAAGAACACCGAUAGUGUAGACAGCUUACUAGGCUACAACUGACGCUGAGGCACGAAAGUGUGGGGAUCAAACAGGAUUAGAUACCCUGGUAGUCCACACUGUAAACGUUGAUUACUCGAUGUUGGCGAUACACAGUCAGCGUCUUAGCGCAAGCGAUAAGUAAUCCACCUGGGGAGUACGCCGGCAACGGUGA
rnacentral:rRNA from 1 species